AGCAACCUGCUUGCGUCGCUUCCUGCACUUUGGCGGCUUUGUUCUUUAGCUCUUUGCAAUAAAUCUUGCUGCUGCUCACUCUUUGGGUCCACACUGCCUUUAUGAGCUGUAACACUCACCACGAAGGUCUGCAGCUUCACUUCUGAAGCCAGCGGGACCACGAACCCACUGGGAGGAACGAACAACUCUAGACGCACUGCCUGAAGAGCUGUAACACUCACCGUGAAGGUCCACAGCUUCACUCCUGAGCCAGUGAGACCAUGAACCCACCAGAGGGAAGAAACUCGGAACACAUCUGAACAGCAGAAGGAACAAACUCCGGACACGCCGCCUUUAAGAACUAUAACACUCACGGCGAGGGUGCGCGGUUUCAUUCUUGAAGUCAGUGAGACCAAGAACCCACCAAUUCUGGACACAUGGCCACUGAGCACUCCCUGCUCGGGGCUGCACCUCAGCAACAACAGAGGCUAUGAUACCGGGCUGGAGGGCGCUGAAACGUUAGCUCUGAGUGAGUUUGAAAGUGGAUCUUCUGAAGCCUUCCAACAGUCAUGUGUGGAAUCUGGAAGUGCAUUUUUGAGGCUUUCCCAUAGCCAUCUGAGUGAGCUGAUUUGGACCAUUUGGAGGAAGUAGAGUGAGCAUUUGAAAAAAUGGUAUUUAUGUCAACCAGACCUGGAGUUCAAGACUACGGAAAUGAUGUUAGGCAAAAAGCAAAUUCAAGCAAUUUUCUUAUUCAAGUUCAAAAUGAGUCAUAAAGCAGCAGCAAUAACUCGCUACAUCAAUAAUGCAUUUGGCCCAGGAACUGCAAACGAAUGUACAGUGCAGUGGUGGUUUAAGAAGUUUUGAAAAGGAAAUGAGAGUCUUGAAAAUGAGUAGCAUGGUGGCCAGAUAUUGGAAGUUGACAAUGGCCAAUUGAGAGCAAUCAUUGAAGGUGAUCCUCCUACAACACAAGAAGUUGUGGAAGAGCUAAAUGUUGACCAUUCUACAGUCAUUCGGCAUUUGAAGCAAAUUGGAAAGGUGAAAAAGCUCGAUAAGUAGGUGCCUCAUGAGCUGAGUGAAAAUCAAAAAGAAUUGUUUUGAAGUGUCAUCUUCUCAUUCUACCCAACAACAACGAACCAUUUCUCAACUGGAUUGUCUCAUGUGACAAAAAGUUGAUUUUAUACAAGUGGUGAUGACUAGCUUAGUGGCUGGACCAAGAAGAGGUUCCAAAGCAUUUCCCAAAGCCAAAUUUGUCUCAAAAAAAAAAAAAAAAAAAAAAAAAAAAGGUCAUGGUCACUGUUUGGUGGUCUACUGCCUACUGCCAGUCUGAUCCACUACAGCCUUCCAAAUUCUGGUGAAACCAUUACAUCUGAGAAGUAUGCUCAGCAAAUCGAUGAGAUGCAUCAAAAACUGCAAUGCCUGCAGCCGGCAUUGGUCAACAGUUAGGGCCCAAUUCUUCUCCACAACAAUGCCCGACCACACGGUGCACAAACAGUGCUUCAAAAGUUGAACAAAUUGGGCUACCAAGUUUUGUCUCAUCUGCCAUAUUCACCUCACCUCUCGUCAACCGACUACCCCUUGUCCAAGCAUCUGGGCAACUUUUUGCAGGGAAAAUGCUUGCACAAUCAGCAGGAUGCAGAAAAUGCUUUCCAAGAGUUUGUCAAAUUCUGAAUCAUGGAUUUUUAUGCUACAGGAACAAACAAACUUAUUUCUCAUUGGCAAAAUGUGUUGAUUGUAAUGGUUCCCCUUUUGAUUAAUAAAGAUGUGCUUGAGACUAGUUUGAUUUAAAAUUUAUGGUCCAAAACCUCAAUUAUUUUUGUGCCACAAUUUAGAUGUCCCAAUUUUUUCAUUAAUUCUGUUAUUGUGGUGCUAAUUAAGAAUGAAAUUUUCAAUUAUUAAGUCAACUUUGUAUUAUUAAAAUAAAUCCAAA
rnacentral:lncRNA from 1 species